AGCGAACGCUGGCGGCAUGCUUAACACAUGCAAGUCGCACGGUCGGGUUUCGGCCCGGCAGUGGCGGACGGGUGAGUAACGCGUAGGUAUCUAUCCUUGGGAUGGGGGACGAACCGUGGGAAACUAACGGCUAAUACCGCAUGACGACCGAGGUCCAAAGGCCGCGAGGCCGUCUGGGGAGGAGCCUGCGUCCGAUUAGCUAGUUGGUGGGGUAACGGCCUACCAAGGCGGUGAUCGGUAGCUGGUC
rnacentral:rRNA from 1 species